rnacentral:rRNA from 1 species
GGUUAAGCGACUAAGCGUACACGGUGGAUGCCCUGGCAGUCAGAGGCGAUGAAGGACGUGCUAAUCUGCGAUAAGCGCCGGUAAGGUGAUAUGAACCGUUAUAACCGGCGAUUUCCGAAUGGGGAAACCCAGUGUGACUCGUCACACUAUCAUUAACUGAAUCCAUAGGUUAAUGAGGCGAACCGGGGGAACUGAAACAUCUAAGUACCCCGAGGAAAAGAAAUCAACCGAGAUUCCCCCAGUAGCGGCGAGCGAACGGGGAGGAGCCCAGAGCCUGAAUCAGCAUGUGUGUUAGUGGAAGCGUCUGGAAAGGCGCGCGAUACAGGGUGACAGCCCCGUACACAAAAGCGCAUGUGCUGUGAGCUCGAUGAGUAGGGCGGGACACGUGGUAUCCUGUCUGAAUAUGGGGGGACCAUCCUCCAAGGCUAAAUACUCCUGACUGACCGAUAGUGAACCAGUACCGUGAGGGAAAGGCGAAAAGAACCCCGGCGAGGGGAGUGAAAAAGAACCUGAAACCGUGUACGUACAAGCAGUGGGAGCACCUUCGGGUGUGACUGCGUACCUUUUGUAUAAUGGGUCAGCGACUUAUAUUCUGUAGCAAGGUUAACCGUAUAGGGGAGCCGGAGGGAAACCGAGUCUUAACCGGGCGUUAAGUUGCAGGGUAUAGACCCGAAACCCGGUGAUCUAGCCAUGGGCAGGUUGAAGGUUGGGUAACACUAACUGGAGGACCGAACCGACUAAUGUUGAAAAAUUAGCGGAUGACCUGUGGCUGGGGGUGAAAGGCCAAUCAAACCGGGAGAUAGCUGGUUCUCCCCGAAAGCUAUUUAGGUAGCGCCUCGUGAAUUCAUCUCCGGGGGUAGAGCACUGUUUCGGCUAGGGGGCCAUCCCGGCUUACCAACCCGAUGCAAACUGCGAAUACCGGAGAAUGUUAUCACGGGAGACACACGGCGGGUGCUAACGUCCGUCGUGAAGAGGGAAACAACCCAGACCGCCAGCUAAGGUCCCAAAGUCAUGGUUAAGUGGGAAACGAUGUGGGAAGGCCCAGACAGCCAGGAUGUUGGCUUAGAAGCAGCCAUCAUUUAAAGAAAGCGUAAUAGCUCACUGGUCGAGUCGGCCUGCGCGGAAGAUGUAACGGGGCUAAACCAUGCACCGAAGCUGCGGCAGCGACGCUGAUGCGUUGUUGGGUAGGGGAGCGUUCUGUAAGCCUGUGAAGGUGGCCUGUGAGGGUUGCUGGAGGUAUCAGAAGUGCGAAUGCUGACAUAAGUAACGAUAAAGCGGGUGAAAAGCCCGCUCGCCGGAAGACCAAGGGUUCCUGUCCAACGUUAAUCGGGGCAGGGUGAGUCGACCCCUAAGGCGAGGCCGAAAGGCGUAGUCGAUGGGAAACAGGUUAAUAUUCCUGUACUUGGUGUUACUGCGAAGGGGGGACGGAGAAGGCUAUGUUGGCCGGGCGACGGUUGUCCCGGUUUAAGCGUGUAGGCUGGUUUUCCAGGCAAAUCCGGAAAAUCAAGGCUGAGGCGUGACGACGAGGCACUACGGUGCUGAAGCAACAAAUGCCCUGCUUCCAGGAAAAGCCUCUAAGCAUCAGGUAACAUCAAAUCGUACCCCAAACCGACACAGGUGGUCAGGUAGAGAAUACCAAGGCGCUUGAGAGAACUCGGGUGAAGGAACUAGGCAAAAUGGUGCCGUAACUUCGGGAGAAGGCACGCUGACACGUAGGUGAAGUGAUUUACUCAUGGAGCUGAAGUCAGUCGAAGAUACCAGCUGGCUGCAACUGUUUAUUAAAAACACAGCACUGUGCAAACACGAAAGUGGACGUAUACGGUGUGACGCCUGCCCGGUGCCGGAAGGUUAAUUGAUGGGGUCAGCGCAAGCGAAGCUCCUGAUCGAAGCCCCGGUAAACGGCGGCCGUAACUAUAACGGUCCUAAGGUAGCGAAAUUCCUUGUCGGGUAAGUUCCGACCUGCACGAAUGGCGUAAUGAUGGCCAGGCUGUCUCCACCCGAGACUCAGUGAAAUUGAACUCGCUGUGAAGAUGCAGUGUACCCGCGGCAAGACGGAAAGACCCCGUGAACCUUUACUAUAGCUUGACACUGAACAUUGAGCCUUGAUGUGUAGGAUAGGUGGGAGGCUUUGAAGUGUGGACGCCAGUCUGCAUGGAGCCGACCUUGAAAUACCACCCUUUAAUGUUUGAUGUUCUAACGUGGACCCGUGAUCCGGGUUGCGGACAGUGUCUGGUGGGUAGUUUGACUGGGGCGGUCUCCUCCUAAAGAGUAACGGAGGAGCACGAAGGUUGGCUAAUCCUGGUCGGACAUCAGGAGGUUAGUGCAAUGGCAUAAGCCAGCUUGACUGCGAGCGUGACGGCGCGAGCAGGUGCGAAAGCAGGUCAUAGUGAUCCGGUGGUUCUGAAUGGAAGGGCCAUCGCUCAACGGAUAAAAGGUACUCCGGGGAUAACAGGCUGAUACCGCCCAAGAGUUCAUAUCGACGGCGGUGUUUGGCACCUCGAUGUCGGCUCAUCACAUCCUGGGGCUGAAGUAGGUCCCAAGGGUAUGGCUGUUCGCCAUUUAAAGUGGUACGCGAGCUGGGUUUAGAACGUCGUGAGACAGUUCGGUCCCUAUCUGCCGUGGGCGCUGGAGAACUGAGGGGGGCUGCUCCUAGUACGAGAGGACCGGAGUGGACGCAUCACUGGUGUUCGGGUUGUCAUGCCAAUGGCACUGCCCGGUAGCUAAAUGCGGAAGAGAUAAGUGCUGAAAGCAUCUAAGCACGAAACUUGCCCCGAGAUGAGUUCUCCCUGAGACUUAGAGUCUCCUGAAGGAACGUUGAAGACGACGACGUUGAUAGGCCGGGUGUGUAAGCGCAGCGAUGCGUUGAGCUAACCGGUACUAAUGAACCGUGAGGCUUAACCUU